UGGGAAGAUGCGCCAGAGAGGGUGACAGCCCCGUAAGCGAAAUCCAAAGAAAGCCUAUCAGGAUCCUGAGUAGGGCGGGACACGAGAAAUCCCGUCUGAAUCCGCGAGGACCAUCUCGCAAGGCUAAAUACUAACCAGUGACCGAUAGUGAACCAGUACCGUGAGGGAAAGGUGAAAAGAACCCCGGGAGGGGAGUGAAAGAGAACCUGAAACCGUGUGCCUACAAGUAGUCAGAGCCCGUUAAAGGGUGAUGGCGUGCCUUUUGUAGAAUGAACCGGCGAGUUGCGUUAGCCAGCGAGGUUAAGUCAGAAAAGACGGAGCCGCAGCGAAAGCGAGUCUGAAUAGGGCGAGCAGUUGGCUGAUGCAGACCCGAAACCAAGUGACCUACCCAUGACCAGGUUGAAGGCGCGGUAAAACGCGCUGGAGGACCGAACCCACGUAAGUUGAAAAUUGCGGGGAUGAGUUGUGGGUAGCGGUGAAAUUCCAAACGAACUUGGAGAUAGCUGGUUCUCUCCGAAAUAGCUUUAGGGCUAGCCUCGCAAAGAGGAUGCUGGAGGUAGAGCUCUGUUUGGACUAGGGGCCCGUCAGGGGUUACUGAAUCCAGAUAAACUGCGAAUUCCAGACAUUUAUAUGCGGGAGUCAGACUGCGAGUGAUAAGAUCCGUAGUCGAAAGGGAAACAGCCCAGAUCACCAGUUAAGGUCCCUAAAUACAUGCUAAGUGGAAAAGGAUGUGGAGUUGCGCAGACAACUAGGACGUUGGCUCAGAAGCAGCCAUCAUUCAAAGAGUGCGUAAUAGCUCACUAGUCGAGUGACGCCGCGCCGAAAAUUUACCGGGGCUAAGCAUGAUACCGAAACUGUGGAUGCAUACAAAAGUAUGCGUGGUAGGAGAGCGUUCCAGCGGCGAAGAAGCAUGACUGAGAAGACAUGUGGAGCUUCUGGAAGUGAGAAUGCCGGUAUGAGUAACGAAAGACAGGUGAGAAUCCUGUCCGCCGCAAGACUAAGGUUUCCUGGGGCAGGCUCGUCCGCCCAGGGUAAGUCGGGACCUAAGGCGAGGCCGAGAGGCGUAGUCGAUGGACAACAGGUAGACAUUCCUGUACUGCACCCAAUCGUUAUGAGCGAAGGAGGGACGCAGGAGGCUAGCAGCGCAUGGUGCUGGAAACCAUGUUCAAGCGCUGAGUCUGGAAAUGAGUCAAAUGCUUAUUUCCUUAAGGACAAGGCGUGAUGAGGAGCGAAAUUAAAGUAGCGAAGGCUGCGACGUCACACUGCCAAGAAAAGCUUCUAGCCAGAGAAGGUGCACCCGUACCGCAAACCGACACAGGUAGUCGAGGAGAGUAUCCUCAGGUGAGCGAGAGAACUCUCGUUAAGGAACUCGGCAAAAUGGCCCCGUAACUUCGGGAGAAGGGGCGCUGGUCGCAAGAUCAGCCGCAGUGAAAAGGCCCAAGCAACUGUUUAUCAAAAACACAGGCAUCUGCAAAAUCGUAAGAUGAAGUAUAGGUGCUGACACCUGCCCGGUGCUGGAAGGUUAAGAGGAGAGCUUAGCGCAAGCGAAGGUUUGAAUUGAAGCCCCAGUAAACGGCGGCCGUAACUAUAACGGUCCUAAGGUAGCGAAAUUCCUUGUCGGGUAAGUUCCGACCUGCACGAAAGGUGUAAUGAUUUGGGCACUGUCUCAACGAGAGACUCGGUGAAAUUAUAAUACCCGUGAAGAUGCGGGUUACCCGCGACAGGACGGAAAGACCCCAUGGAGCUUUACUGCAGUUUAAUAUUGGGUAUCUGUCAAGCAUGUACAGGAUAGGUAGGAGCCGGAGAAGAUAGGACGCCAGUCUUAUCGGAGGCGCUGUUGGGAUACUACCCUUGCUUGACGGAUGCUCUAACUCAGGCGUGUAAACCAGGCCGAGGACAGUGUUUGACGGGCAGUUUGACUGGGGCGGUCGCCUCCUAA
rnacentral:rRNA from 1 species